AUUCUACUCCCUCCGUUGCAAUAUACUACGUGCCUUCUAUUUGUCAAAAUAUAUAUGUAUCUAGACAUGUCUUAGUAUAUAGGUACAUCCAUUUUUGGACAAAUGAAAGUCAAGUAUUUUGGAACGGAGGGAGUACACA
rnacentral:pre_miRNA from 1 species